rnacentral:misc_RNA from 1 species
CAGAGUUAUAAAACUCCCAAACCCAUGUGAACAUACCUAUGUUGCCUCGGCGGCCUGCCAGGCGUGCUGUUCCGCAGCCGCCGCGCGGUCCGCCGACGGACUAUACAACUCUUGUUUUUUAUGUAUCUCUGAGUAAACUUUUAAAUAAGUCA